CAAAAACAUGUCUUUUUGAAAAUAAUAUAAAGUNUAAUCUGCCCACUGAAUUAAUUUAAAGGGCUGCAGUAUAUUGACUGUACAAAGGUAGCAUAAUCAAUAGUCUUUUAAUUGAAGACUUGUAUGAAUGAUUUGAUGAAAUAUAAACUGUCUCUUUUUUAAAAUUAAAAUUUAAUUUUUUAGUUAAAAAGCUAAAAUAAAUAUAAAAGACGAGAAGACCCUAUAGAGUUUUAUAAUUAUUUUUAUUUAUUUUAUAUAUUAAUAUUAAAAAUUAAAUGUAAAUAAUUAUUUUGUUGGGGUGAUAGAAAAAUUUAAUUAACUUUUUUUAAAAUUUAACAUUAAUAUAUGAAUAUAUGAUCCAUAUUUUAUGAUUAAAAGAAUAAAUUACCUUAGGGAUAACAGCGUAAUUUUUUUUUUUAGUUCAUAUAAAAAAAAGAGUUUGCGACCUCGAUGUUGGAUUUAAGAUAAAAUUUAAAUGCAAAAGUUUAAAAUUUUUGAUCUGUUCGAUCAUUAAAAUCUUACAUGAUCUGA
rnacentral:rRNA from 1 species